CGUGAGUGAUGAAGGCUUUCGGGUCGUAAAGCUCUGUCAAGUGGGAAGAACCUGUUAGAUACUAAUACCAUCUAGCACUGACGGUACCACUAAAGGAAGCACCGGCUAACUCCGUGCCAGCAGCCGCGGUAAUACGGGGGGUGCUAGCGUUAUUCGGAAUUAUUGGGCGUAAAGGGCGCGUAGGCGGUCUCUAAAGUCAGAUGUGAAAGCCCGGGGCUUAACCCCGGAAGUGCAUUUGAAACUUAGGGACUUGAGUAUGGGAGAGGGAAGUGGAAUUCCUGGUGUAGCGGUGAAAUGCGUAGAUAUCAGGAGGAACACCAGUGGCGAAGGCGACUUCCUGGACCAAUACUGACGCUGAGGCGCGAAGGCGUGGGGAGCAAACAGGAUUAGAUACCCUGGUAGUCCACGCAGUAAACGGUGAACACUAGGUGUAGCGGGUAUUGACCCCUGCUGUGCCGCAGCUAACGCAUUAA
rnacentral:rRNA from 1 species